rnacentral:snoRNA from 1 species
AACAAUAUGAUGAUUUUAUACCGCCCCAGUCUGAAAUUUGUGUUGAAGGUUUGAUCUGAAUGUU